CCAGGGAGAUGGAAUCACAAAUGCAAAGAUUCCGAGGUGGAAGCAUGCUUGCUUUGUUCCGGGAACACAAGGAAGUCAGUGUGUCUAGAGGGGUGCACAGGGAGUGGCACGGCAAAGGGAAUUGCCCCUCAGGAGCAGAGGGUUAUGUCAGAGGGGAGGCGCGAACCAGGUCGCAUAGCACAUUCUAGGAUGUAAUGAGUGUGGAUUCUAUGUUGCCAUGGGAAGCCAGCAUCCUUGCACGAGGUGGUUAAGUGCUGAGAGAAGAUAAAUCAGAUUAAGGGGCUAGAGAGAGACUGGAAGCCUGGGGAAGCUAUUUGAAACAAACGGGCAGAGGAGCUCUCUCUGAGGAAGUGACUUUAGGGCUGAGUCUUGAAAUAUCUGAAGUAGCGACCAUGCAGAUUUCUGGGAUAAGCCAGUUCCAGGCAGAAAAAAUAGCACUGAAGUGGGAAUAAGCAUCACAUAUCCUGGAAAGAGCAAGAAGGUCAGCGUGGCCAGGGCACAAUACCAGAGGAAGCAGGGGGAGGAGGCCAGCCCUGUGGAGGCCGUGGGACGGUACUUGGCUUUUAUUCUAAAUACACUGGGAAGAUUUUCGAGGACUCUUGCUUGUUUUUCGAGGGAACUGGCUGAAAACCCAGUAGAUUUUGGUGGCUGUUCUUGACUAAGAAGAGUGUGGAACAAAGUCACAGAGCCACGGCCCCAGACAAGACCUGGAUGAAGCGCUACAGCCUGGUAGUGCCAAGACUGGGAGGGAAACAGAAGAGCACUAUGAGACAGAAUCCAGAAGCAAGGAGAGGAAGGAAAGGCCUUGGACCCCCUAAGGAGAAGGAGGGUAAACACACAGGAGCAGGAUUGCUGGGUCAUAUGGUUCUAUAGUUUCCUUAGAGCAACGAGGUGGAGUGUGUUUCUUUCAUCUGACCCCAUAUUCUUUGAGCCAAUUCAAAGAAGGGCAUAGGACCUGAUAUAUGGAACCAUCUUAUCUUCCACCAUCACUAUCAUUCCAUCUCCAUGAGCUUAUCUUCCACCACCACUCCAUCUCCAUGAUUUCCAUAGAGAUCCCCUGCAGAAUGCACAUUUUUCCCCCUGGAUUGCAAAUAAUCUGAACCAGGGUAAAACCAUUACAAAGUGGCCUUCAAACAUCAUGUCUGUAUUGGAACUGAAUGAUUGAUCAGACAUUUAAAUACGGAAACUGGGAAUUCAGCUGACCAGAAUUUCACCAGGGUGACAUGACAGUUUGUUGCUAAGGAACUGAAGACUAUGUCAUAAGUGAGCAUUCUGAUGAAGAGGAGUGAACAGUUUGCAGCAGAUUGGAUAUUAAGUAUAAAUCAGCUCUCUGUGUAUGUCCUUGUGUGGUGGUAUAACUGACAACAGGUAGGGUUCCUGAUGGGAUUGGGUUCCACCAAUCAGAGCCACUUGCAUGAGACCUCAACUGAGAGCCAGGUGUUUGAAGAGGAGGGGCUCACUCUAAAUCUUGAAGAUGUUCAGCCUCGAAAAAGUAGAAGUCAUUGUGACCAAAGAUGAUGCCACCAUGCCUUUGAAAAAGAAAGGUGAUGAGCCUCAAAUGGAAAAAUACAUUCAAGAAAGGUCAAUGCUAAGAAAUAAAGAGAAAGAUGAAGAAAGGAUCACAUAAAGCUGAUGGGAAGAGAAUAAGGUGGACAUAGUAAGACAUCUGAGGCUGAAAAGGGAGGAAGUAGCAAGUGCACAGGAUGGAGCAGAGCAUGGGAAGAGCAUGGACCCAGCCCUGUGCCCCUAGGCUGGGUCAGCUCGGGGCUUCCAUUUCCUCCUCUGUAAAAUAUCUGCCUUUCAGGAUUAGUAAAAGGAUUAAAUAAAAUAAUAACCUCGUACAGAUCCUGGAAA
rnacentral:lncRNA from 1 species